rnacentral:rRNA from 1 species
UACGAAGGGGGCUAGCGUUGUUCGGAGUUACUGGGCGUAAAGGGCGCGUAGGCGGCGCACCAAGUCAGGCGUGAAAGCCCUGGGCUCAACCCGGGAAUUGCGCUUGAGACUGGUGUGCUUGAGUACGGGAGAGGAUAGUGGAAUUCCCAGUGUAGAGGUGAAAUUCGUAGAUAUUGGGAAGAACACCGGUGGCGAAGGCGGCUAUCUGGACGACAACUGACGCUGAGGCGCGAAAGCGUGGGGAUCAAACAGG